rnacentral:lncRNA from 1 species
UGGAGAGGUCUAAAUAAUGUUUAGGUAAAAUGUAUUUUCAUACUAUCAAAGCAGAAAGCUAUCUGUGUAGAACUAAGCUUGGUCCUGGUAUUUAAGUCCUGAAACCAAUAGCAUGUUUCUAAGAAUCUCCCUGUUCUUCCCCCUCAGUCCCAUGGUUUCUGGGAAUGCUUAUUCCCUUCUUCAUGUUCUUUCCAUAGAGGUGAGAACCCUGUGGAGAGCAGUCAGUUCCAUGGCUCAAAAGAAGUCUCAGCCACCAGCCCCUAAUUGCUAGCUCCUUGCAGUUCAUAGGGAGUUCUCUGAUUUAGUCUCAUUUUGACAGCAUGGAAUGUCCUCUUGAAGAACAAGGUUUAUAUAUUUUUUUCCUUCUUCUAUCCCUCCCUCCUUCUGACUUGAUAAAAAUCUCUUCUGCUAUCAGAAUGUUUCAUGGUGGCAGCUGUGUGUGCAGGAUACGUGCAUGCACACAAAACCUCUGACAGUCUUGGAGUCUGGGUGGCACCCUAGCCUUGGGACCAAUGGCGUCACCACAGUAAGGACAAGCCUCAAGAAGAAGCAACACAAUUUAGUUUCCUGAGCUUGGUCCAGGAUUGUCGGCCAAGAGCUGGCAUAAAGCAGUCCAGGGCAGCAAGACUGUCCUAAAGAAGUGUAUACACUAACAAGUUAUCUGAGAGUGCAGCGUGGUCAUCAUAGCUGGCACGAGGACUGGUCAGAAAAGGAGAGGUGCUAGGAGGCAAAAACAGUGGUGUUUCUCCUUCCCUCUUCCCCUUCAGCACGGUCCAGCUAUUCAGUGCUCGUUCAACCCUCAUGGCUGAGACAAAACAAAGCCAAGGAGGCAGAAAGAGUGCUCCAAGAAUCAGCGCUGUCAACCUUUAACUCCUGAAGAUGCAGAUUCAAAAUCAUUCUGUGAACACCUGGCCACCACUGAGGGAAACCAGUGCUGUGGUAUUUGAUGCACAGCUCGCCUUGCGCUCCUUAACUCUGCCGUGCGAGGUGCAAGGUGGGUGCCUAGGAGAACCUGGGUGGGCACAGGGCUGGGCACAGGGCAGGUGGAGAUGACCAACACAAUGCGUGGGUGGAUGGGGGCACACACUGGGGACCCGAGGAAGGCACUGGCUUCUGCAAUGUUUCUUCUGCCUCUUACAGGAGAACUUGAGUCUCUGUUCUUUUUUAGUAUCCAUCUUCUGUUAUCGUAAAUCCUGUAUCCAUGGCUUUAAUAGACAUUCUAAAAGUUGCUGCACUGACAGUCUUAAUAAUAUUUCUAUCCCUCUCCCUCUCAAUACUCUUUGAAGACCUCCUGAUUGGCCCUGAGGAAGUAUCCAGGGUAACAGUAUUCCUGGGUCCCUGUCCCUCAGCCCAUAGGCCACUGUGAUAAUUGUCUGCUCAGCAUUUCCAUAUUUAUUGUACCAAUGAUUGUAAUGAAAAUAUACACUGAAAGUUUAAGAGAUUAUAAUAAAAACGUUUUUCACAUC